rnacentral:rRNA from 1 species
UGGGGAAUAUUGGACAAUGGGCGAAAGCCUGAUCCAGCCAUGCCGCGUGUGUGAAGAAGGUCUUCGGAUUGUAAAGCACUUUAAGUUGGGAGGAAGGGCAGUAAGCGAAUACCUUGCUGUUUUGACGUUACCGACAGAAUAAGCACCGGCUAACUCUGUGCCAGCAGCCGCGGUAAUACAGAGGGUGCAAGCGUUAUUCGGAAUUACUGGGCGUAAAGCGCGCGUAGGUGGUUCGUUAAGUUGAAUGUGAAAGCCCCGGGCUCAACCUGGGAACUGCAUCCAAAACUGGCGAGCUAGAGUAGGGCAGAGGGUGGUGGAAUUUCCUGUGUAGCGGUGAAAGGCGUAGAUAUAGGAAGGAACACCAGUGGCGAAGGCGACCACCUGGGCUCAUACUGACACUGAGGUGCGAAAGCGUGGGGAGCAAACAGG